rnacentral:lncRNA from 1 species
CAAAGAGAUGUGCUAUGUUAAUAAAAGUGAGGAUAGGAAAGGAAAGGAAAAACGUGAAUCUGAGCACUGAAAGGAGACUGGCUUACCAGCCAUAUUUGAGCAGUUACUUGAGUGUGUGGAGUGUGAUUGGAGUCGUAUUAAGCCAGCUUACUGACUGUCAUCAUGCAGUGAUGGGUUCCUUCUGAUUCACUUUAAUUGUUGGUUGCCCCAGCAGACCUGGCUAGGUGUGUGGCACCUGAGCUGGUGGGCUUCCUUGAGGACAACGGUGGGAGCCAUCGGGAUCUUCAGAGGAUGAGCCAUGCGUGAGAGAAAGGGCCGUACACCCUGGCCUGAGCACAGCUGUGGGAGCUGCUUGGGCUGCUGAAGAAUUGCCUUUCUUGUGCAUCUGAAGACU